AUGCAGUGUCAUUUUCCUGUAACAAGGCUUGUGUUCUUGCUCUGUGUGUUUCAGAAAUGCGAGUUGAACAUCGACAACCUGAGCAAACCAGAGCUCCUGACCCUUUUGAGUAUCAUGGAGGGAGAACUUGAGGCCAGAGACCUAGUCAUUGAAGCUCUUAGGGCCAGCUGAAGACCAGCCCUGUCGAUGUGACAGCCGCCGCUCCUCCGGGCUCUGUUUGAGAGAGAUGUGGAAAUGUUCUCUUAACCCUCACAACCCUUAAUAUCUGUUAUUAAGCUAUCAUAUUGAAGUCCAAACUGGAAUUGUCCUGAUGCACCAUAAUGCAGCAGAUUUACUAUAUUAGGGUAUUUUCGAACCGUAUAUUGCCACAAAACUUGAUAUUAAACCGUUUAUCAGAUAGUACAGUAAUGGUCUCAAUCAAGAGAGAAAAUUAAUACAUAGGAAGCAUGUUAAUUUGAUGCAAAAGAAUGCUGUGAGAUAUGAGAAUACAGUUUGUUGAAUAUGUCACGUUCUUUAGUUCCAAAUAAUUACGUCCUGCUAUGUGUAGUUUUCACCACCAAGAAGUUAUUUUGUGUGUUUUUGAUAUUUUGACAGCUGACAGCAUGCCGCAUACUGAACAGCCUGUACCAUCUCUUGCAGUCCUUUGGUUUUUGUAGCAAGUUUAGUUCCAAAUAAUUACGUCCUGCUAUGUGUAGUUUUCACCACCAAGAAGUUAUUUUGUGUGUUUUUGUAUAUUUUGUACAGCUGACAGCAUGCCGCAUACUGAACAGCCUGUACCAUCUCUUGCAGCCUUGUUUUUGUUAGCAGAAAAUUAAAUAGUUUAUAAUUACUUACAGUACUGGUAAAACAUUUGGGGUAAGAGUUUUUAUUUUGUUUUUGUUUUUAAGAAAUUAAUACUUUUAUUCAAGAAGAAUGCAUUAAAUAAAUCAAACAUGACUGUUAAGAUUUGUACAGUUUUUUGUUUUCAAAUGUUCUUUUUAACUUUGUAUUCAUUAAUGAUCCACAAAAUUAUGAAGCAGCACAACUGUUUUUGGACAUUGCUAAUAAUAAGAAAUGUUUCUUGAGCAACAAUUUCAACAAUUCAGCAUUUUAGAAUGAUUUCUGAAGGAUCAUGUAACACUGUCUGUAGCUUUGCUUUCACAGGAAUAAAUUACAUUUAAGUGCAAUUACA
rnacentral:lncRNA from 1 species